GCGAGUGAAGCGGGAAGAGCUCAAAUUUGAAAUCUGGCAGUCUUCGAUUGUCCGAGUUGUAAUCUAUAGAGGCGUUUUCCGUGCCGGACCGUGUCCAAGUCUCCUGGAAAGGAGUAUCAAAGAGGGUGAUAAUCCCGUACUUAACACGACCACCGGUGCUCUGUGAUACGUCUUCUACGAGUCGAGUUGUUUGGGAAUGCAGCUCAAAAUGGGUGGUGAAUUCCAUCUAAAGCUAAAUAUUGGCGAGAGACCGAUAGCGAACAAGUACCGUGAGGGAAAGAUGAAAAGCACUUUGGAAAGAGAGUUAAACAGUACGUGAAAUUGUUGAAAGGGAAACGAUUGAAGUCAGUCGUGUUCUUUGGAUUCAGCCAGUUCUGCUGGUCUACUUCCUUUGAACGGGUCAACAUCAGUUUUGUCCGGUGGAUAAAGGUAGUAGGAAUGUGACUUCUCCGGAAGUGUUAUAGCCUAUUAUCACAUACACUGGGUGAGACUGAGGACUGCAGCUCGCCUUUAUGGCCGACCUUCGGGUACGUUCGAGCUUAGGAUGUUGACAUAAUGGCUUUAAACGACCC
rnacentral:rRNA from 1 species